rnacentral:tRNA from 1 species
GCGGUCGUGGCUGAAGGGUUACGGUGUUCGCUUUAUAAGCGAACGGUCUUGGGUUCGAUACCCAUCUGCUCCC